UACAGAGGUGGCAAGCGUUGUUCGGAAUUACUGGGCGUAAAGCGUGCGCAGGCGGUUUUGUAAGCCAGAUGUGAAAGCCCCGGGCUUAACCUGGGAAUGGCAUUUGGGACUGCAAGGCUUGAGUGCGGCAGAGGAGACUGGAAUUCCUGGUGUAGCAGUGAAAUGCGUAGAUAUCAGGAGGAAUACCGAUGGCGAAGGCAGGUCUCUGGGCUGACACUGACGCUGAUGCGCGAAAGCCAGGGGAGCGAACGGG
rnacentral:rRNA from 1 species